rnacentral:tRNA from 1 species
GUCCAGUGGCAGGACGGCAGACUCUGGAUCUGCUUACAGGGGUUCGAAUCCCGU